AACGAACACUGGCGGCAGGCUUAACACAUGCAAGUCGAGCGCCCCGCAAGGGGAGCGGCAGACGGGUGAGUAACGCGUGGGAAUCUACCCAUCUCUACGGAAUAACGCAUGGAAACGUGUGCUAAUACCGUAUACGUCCUUCGGGAGAAAGAUUUAUCGGAGAUGGAUGAGCCCGCGUUGGAUUAGCUAGUUGGUGGGGUAAAGGCCAACCAAGGCGACGAUCCAUAGCUGGUCUGAGAGGAUGAUCAACCACACUGGGACUGAGACACGGCCCAGACUCCUACGGGAGGCAGCAGUGGGGAAUAUUGGACAAUGGGCGCAAGCCUGAUCCAGCCAUGCCGCGUGAGUGAUGAAGGCCCUAGGGUUGUAAAGCUCUUUCACCGGUGAAGAUAAUGACGGUAACCGGAGAAGAAGCCCCGGCUAACUUCGUGCCAGCCGCCGCCGCGGUAA
rnacentral:rRNA from 1 species